GUUUUCUCACUCCAGAGUUGCUGGUGGGGGGGGAAAAAAGAAAAAAAAGGUGCUUGUGAUGUUUAUUGUUUCUUCUGUGGAACAGAAAAUAACACCACCCUGCUGCCUUGCAGUGUUCAUCGCGCUGUACAGUGACGCACUUCCCACAGGGGAACAAAACAAAAGGAAGAGAAGAAACCUCUGGAAGCUUCAUCUGUGGUCUGAAAACCAAAGCUGUGCCUUUCCUGCUUUCUGCCUCAUCAGUCAUGAAGAUUUUGCAGGGACAGCUGAGUUGAUGCCAGUGCUGGACCUGACCUGAACUUAAUUACAGUCAAAGGUGGAACUCCAGCAGCUGAUAAAAUAAGCUAAUCUACUAACUUCAGUUAAAAUGAGUACUGGAAAGAAGAUUUCAGACCAAAAAAAAAAAAAAAAAAAAAAAAAGAGCAAAUUUCAGCUAAGAAGGAACUUUGUGGUUCAAAAAUGCCUGCGUACCAGCACUUUAUUAUUGCUGGCAACAUUGGCACAGCUUAGGGGUGUGAAGCCCUUUUUAAAUGCAUAUUCCCUUCAGUGGAUUCUGAAAGCCUGCCAGAAAAAUCAACCCUUUUAGCAGCAUUUAAAUCUGUACUCAGCCUUCAGUGUUGCUGAAAUCUCUGUGGGACUUAAACUUAUCUUUAAAUGCUGCCCUUAGGAGACAUUUUCCUGAGGAACUAAUUUUCUGAAACUCGGCCUCUAAAAGCAUGGAAAAUCAGCAAAGCGUCUUUGUCUUCCCAUUUCCCGAACUUCAGAUCAAUUAUAAAAAUACUGAUUUUUAAAAGUUCUUCCAAAGGAGCUCUUUUCUUGUCAGCGUGUGUCACUCUGUCAGUCACAUUUCAAGCCAUGGAUUUGAAAACCGACCUGCAGAAGCAGCUACCUUUGUCAUAAAUUUAACUUGACAGUUUCUCUGUGGGACUUUUAAUUAGGAUUUUUUUUUAAAAAAAGAAAAAAAACCAACAACCCACUGAAAGUGUCAGUCCAAACACAGCGAGCAAAUGCUGGUAUACGGAAGGCCUACACAUGCUGCCGUCUACUUCAGACUCG
rnacentral:lncRNA from 1 species